rnacentral:lncRNA from 1 species
UGGUUACAGCUAUUCUCCCUUUGUUUUCAUCUAUGACUCGUUGAAUUUUCGACCUCUCAUCCCCAUAACGAGUAAUGAUGUCCUUCUUAAUCGUAUUCCUAGUUGGGACUUUAAAGAGAGGGUUUAGGGUACAGCAGAACCUUUUGAAGUAGAGGUGGUCAACCAUUGAAAGAGGAUACUCAUGCAUCAAGAUCAUAAUGCAGAGUUCAUUCUUACAAACCUCAUUGCUAAACUGAUUGGCACUCAACUCACUAUUACCCUUAGCUUUGUAGUUAGGGCCUAGGAUUCUCUGACUACCAUCAUGGAUUUGUUUGUGAACGCAACGAUUCCUGUGAGUUCUUAAAUGGGAAGUACCAUUAGUGGACUUCCCAGCCAAAACCUUCUUACAAUAGUUGCAUUUGGCUUUUAAAAUUCCAUGAAUGAACAUUCUGGUGAAGUGAGGCCAGACAUCUGAUUUUAAGGGCCUAGUUGAGCCUAAGGGAGGAUCGACAACAUUAUUUGCAUGUUGGUUUUCAGGAUUUGAACCUAAGGGAGGAUCGGCAACAUCAUUUUCAGGUUGGUUUUCAGGAUUAGCAAGGGAAAGGAGUGGUGGUGGACCAUUAUUAUUCUCAACUGGUAUAUUCGAGAGUUGUUCAGGUGUCAUCUGAUUGAGAAAAUAAGAACACAAAACAAAAAAAGGAGAAAAUAG